rnacentral:rRNA from 1 species
CAUGGCUCAGGACGAACGCUGGCGGCGUGCCUAAUACAUGCAAGUAGAACGCUGAAGAGAGGAGCUUGCUCUUCUUGGAUGAGUUGCGAACGGGUGAGUAACGCGUAGGUAACCUGCCUGGUAGCGGGGGAUAACUAUUGGAAACGAUAGCUAAUACCGCAUGAAAUUGCUUAUCGCAUGAUAAUUAAUUGAAAGGUGCAACUGCACCACUACCAGAUGGACCUGCGUUGUAUUAGCUAGUUGGUGAGGUAACGGCUCACCAAGGCGACGAUACAUAGCCGACCUGAGAGGGUGAUCGGCCACACUGGGACUGAGACACGGCCCAGAC